UUGGAUUCAUUAAUCAAUGGGCGCAAAGCAAUAUUUUCUUGCGGUGAACUUUCUGACCCUCUAGGUAAUGAGAAACUCCAUCUGCCAUAGAUAUUCAGCACCUGCAUCUUUCAUGAAUUGGAAUCUUCAUUCACAUUAAAAGAAUUCUUAGAAACAACAGCAGGUGGUUUGUCCAUCGACAGCUAAUCAAAUCAAGGUAGAUGAGGAGGGGAAGCGAGACCACUCAUUCAGAUAAAUUUAAUAAUAGAAGGCGAACACCAAGAUGUUUAAAAUAAGUCCCCGACAACAAAACGGGCAGAGAGGACACAAGGCCAAAGCCAGCAUUCACUUGGGCAGCUGGAAAGACCUACUUCUGUCACUUACAGCAGAAAAUCAACACGUUUUGACUGGUA
rnacentral:lncRNA from 1 species